rfam:Schistosoma mansoni, Puerto Rico, WGS project CABG01000000 data, contig: 0013
AUCCAACUGACGAGUCCCAAAUAGGACGAAACACGCGUCAAACUGGAU